rnacentral:lncRNA from 1 species
ACGCAUUAGAAUAGUACACAAGACACGACCCCAGCUAAUGGUAUACCUGGGAUAAUUUGGCACAGGCAUUCAUUGGACAUUUUCAGUUUAACCUUGAGAUAUCCCUGAUUGUCUGUCAUUGUUGAAAUUUGAGAAGAAUCCACGAGAGAGAUUAGAGAAUUUGGUUUCCACUGGAGGGAACAAUCAGCCAUAGUGGAUCCUCCGAUGAGG